rnacentral:rRNA from 1 species
UACGGAGGGUGCAAGCGUUAUCCGGAUUCACUGGGUUUAAAGGGUGCGUAGGUGGUCUAUUAAGUCAGUGCAUGAAUAUCCCGGCUUAACCGGGAGGGUGGCAUUGAUACUGACGGACUUGAGUGGAGUUGAGGUAGGCGGAAUUGACGGUGUAGCGGUGAAAUGCUUAGAUAUCGAUCAAGAACACCGAUAGCGAAGGCAGCUUACCAAGCUCUAACUGACACUGAUGCACGAAAAGUGUGGGGAUCAAACAGGA